CCUUGACAUACUAAGAACUUUCCAGAGAUGGAUUGGUGCCUUCGGGAACUUAGAUACAGGUGCUGCAUGGCUGUCGUCAGCUCGUGUCGUGAGAUGUUGGGUUAAGUCCGCAACGAGCGCAACCCUUUUCCUUAUUUGCCAGCGGGUAAUGCCGGGAACUUUAAGGAUACUGCCAGUGACAAACUGGAGGAAGGCGGGGACGACGUCAAGUCAUCAUGGCCCUUACGGCCAGGGCUACACACGUGCUACAAUGGUCGGUACAAAGGGUUGCUACCUCGCGAGAGGAUGCUAAUCUCAAAAAGCCGAUCGUAGUCCGGAUCGCAGUCUGCAACUCGACUGCGUGAAGUCGGAAUCGCUAGUAAUCGCGGAUCAGAAUGCCGCGGUCGAAUACGUUCCCGGGCCUUGUACACACCGCCCGUCACACCAUGGGAGUUUGUUGCACCAGAAGUAGGUAGUCUAACCGCAAGGAGGACGCUUACCACGGUGUGGCCGAUGACUGGGGGUGAAGUCGUAACAAGGUAGGCGUAGAUGA
rnacentral:rRNA from 1 species